CAGGCUUGCUGGGAGCUAGUAAAGUGGCGUACGGGUGAGUAACGCGUGGGUAAUCUAUCUCUGAAUUGGGGAUAACAUUGCGAAAGCGAUGCUAAUACCGGAUAAAAUCCAUUAAACCUCGGUUUUUUUGGAUCAAAGGUGGCCUCUACAUGUAAGCUACUGUUUGGAGACGAGCUCGCGUACCAUUAGCUUGUUGGUAGGGUAAUGGCCUACCAAGGCAACGAUGGUUAGCUGGUCUGAGAGGAUGAUCAGCCACACUGGAACUGACACACGGUCCAGACUCCUACGGGAGGCAGCAGUGAGGAAUUUUCCGCAAUGGGCGAAAGCCUGACGGAGCAACGCCGCGUGAGGGACGAAGGCCUCUGGGCUGUAAACCUCUUUUCUCAAGGAAGAAGAACUGACGGUACUUGAGGAAUAAGCCACGGCUAAUUCCGUGCCAGCAGCCGCGGUANUACGGGAGUGGCAAGCGUUAUCCGGAAUUAUUGGGCGUAAAGCGUCCGCAGGGCGGCCCGAUCAAGUCUGCUGUUAAAGCGUGGAGCUUAACUCCAUAAUGGCAGUGGAAAACUGAUUGGCUGGAGUGUGGUAGGGGCAGAGGGGAAAUUCCCGGGUGUAGCGGGUGAAAUGCGUAGAUAUCGGGAAAGAACACCAGGUGGCGAAAGGCGCUCUGCUGGGCCAUAAACUGACGCUCAUGGGACGAA
rnacentral:rRNA from 1 species